GCACUGGUAGCUCAGCCGGAUAGAGUACUUGACUACGAAUCAAGGGGUCGGGGGUUCGAAUCCUCCCCAGUGCGCCA
rnacentral:tRNA from 1 species